rnacentral:lncRNA from 1 species
AGCUUUGACAUUCUUCUGUCAAGUCACCUUGCAAGUCUCAUGCUUUCUGGAUUCACUGCAGAUUAGAGUACCCAGAAUUAGCCAAGACCUUCAACAUUUAAUGACUAGCCAUGGAGAAGAAAUAAGAUGAACUGCUUGUCCCAGAAAGCGAUAGAACUUUGAAAGCAGCUAUAUAUUUCCUAGCUACCUCUAAAAAAUGGAGCUGUCUUCAUGAGACCUGUAAGAAGCCAACAGUUUUCCUCACUGCCACCAUGUGAAGAAGGAUGUGUUUGUUUCCCUUCCUUCAUGAUUUCCUGGAGGCAGGGAAGUCUAAGAUCAAGGCACCAGCAGAUUUGGUUUUUGAUGUGGUCUCUCUUCCUGGCUUGUACUUAGCUGCUGCCUUGCUGUGUCCUCAUGUGGCCAAGAGAAUCAAAUGGAGGUUCCCAUGAUUUUCUUUUUCCUCAUGGAAACAUGUUUGGUCAGAAGGGAAACAAACCAAUUAAGGUGAUACCAAAGGAUGAUCCUUGAUACAGUUGUAUUUUGGUGGAGCGUUGAGAUUCGCCAGUGAACUCUAACAGUGAGGAUGGCACUGGAAUAAAAAGAGAAGAAACAUGUACUAGAAGCC